rnacentral:lncRNA from 1 species
GGUGCUACAAUCGCAGAGUUCAUAUGGGCUGCAAAGUCUAAAAUUUAUGAUGUAGUUCUUUACAGAAAAAAAAAUUGCCAACUUGCUUCAGUUCUCAGAGUUAGCAUUUACACGUAUUUUGUCCUCUCCUGCCCAUCUGACUCACACACAUACAUUUUCCCUUCUACAUCCUUGCACUAUAAUUAUAGAGUAAGUUUUGGUAGAAACAUUCAAAUUCUGCAUUAAUAUAACUAGGUGAAUAUUUUUCACAACUGAGCCGUGUUAUAUAUCAAGACCAUGUUUCCAUCCUUGAACAACUUUUUAUUUUCCCAUGCGUUAAUAAUUGCCAUGAUCUUUGAAUUGUUAACUUUUCUAUAUGCCAAUCAGUGAUUCAGUCCUAAGCUGGUUGCCAGAAGUUAAAAUAUUCUCUCAAUAUAUUCACAGGUCACGUAAUCCAUCUGUUUUAUUUAUGUUGUUGGGAUUCGUCUCCUGACUCUAACUCCUCAUACGAUUUUUCAAUUUGAGGGGAGUGAAGAUGAGGUUAGGAGAAUGCACUCAGAAACAAAAUACUAAGUACAGCACUCUAGCAUUUGGAAGGAAGAGAAAAUGCUUUUCCUCAGAUAUCAACCCCACUUUAUUUUAAAAAUCAUCAAAUCCGUUUAUUUCCUAUGUCAAGGUAUUGCAUCUCUUCUUGAGCUACAUGGCCUGGGGUCUUCCUUCUGACUAGUUCAUUUCUACUUACACACAGCUGGAAGGCACUUACAAAAAUAGCCCUUCAUCUGGGCACAGUGGCUCAAGCCUGUAAUCUCAGCACUUUAAGAGGCCAAGGCAGCUGUAUUGAUUGAGGCCCAGAGUUUGUGACCAGCCUGGGCAUCACGGUGAAACCCCGUCUUUACUAAAAAUACAAAAAAUUAGCUGGGCAUGGUGGUGCAGGCCUAUGAUCCCAGCUACUUGGGAGGCUGAGGUGGGAGAAUCACCCGAGCCCGGGAGGUCAAGGUUGCAGUGAGCUGAGAUCGUGCCACUGCACUCCAGCCUGGUCAACUGGAGUGAGACCCUGUCUCAAAAUAAAUAAAUACAAAUACAAUAAAAUAAAAUGUAGCCUCUUCCA